rnacentral:rRNA from 1 species
UACAGAGGGUGCAAGCGUUGUUCGGAAUUACUGGGCGUAAAGCGCGUGUAGGCGGCUUAUUAAGUCGGACGUGAAAUCCCUUGGCUCAACCAAGGAACUGCGUCCGAUACUAUUAGGCUUGAGUGUCGGAGGGGGUGGCGGAAUUCCUGGUGUAGAGGUGAAAUUCGUAGAUAUCAGGAGGAACACCUGUGGCGAAGGCGGCCACCUGGAAGACAACUGACGCUGAGACGCGAAAGCGUGGGGAGCAAACAGG